CAAGCGGCCUCAUCUAUUCAUUAAAGAAUGCUACCUCACAGGGCUGUCGUGGGAAUACAGUGGGAUAACAUACUUAAAGCACAGGGUCCGGCACUUAGCAGGGGUGCAGUAAAUGUUUGUUCCAACCCCUGUGGGGGAAGCAAUCUGGUUUUCUGUAGGGCAGCCUGAGCCAUGGAGGCCCUUAAAGCUCCUGCCAUCCACGCCCUUCACUUGACUGCUGCCCACUUCUCUGUCUGGCAGAGGUCCUCGUUACCACCUCUUGGCUCAUACCACCCUCACCCUGGCAGCGGUGCAAGAUGGGUUCCGCACCCAUGACCUCACCCUCGCCAGCCAUGAGGAGAACCCCGCCUGGCUGCCCCUUUAUGGUAGCGUGUGUUGCCACCUGGUGGCUCAGCCUGUCUGCAUGAUUCAGCCUACUGCAAGUGGGCCCCUCAGGGUGCAGCAAGCGGGGGAGCUGCAGGUCUGGGUAUGAGUAGACACCUUUGUACACAUCUGGAAGCUGAGCAAAAGCCCAGAGAGUGGCUGCAUUAAUAAUUCCAGCACUGUUGACUCAUCUUUCUCAAGUUCUUUGAACUCUCAAGAGUUUUGAACACUUUACACUAGUGCAAAUAACAAGGACUCUGCGGUUAGAGCUAUACAUAGCCUGGGUUCAGGGUGUAAUCUCAAGCAAAUGCAGGUAAACUUCUGUCGAGUUUCAGUUUCUUUGUCCGUAGAAUGGGCUUAAGGAGCUGUUAGGAAAAUCUUAUUAGCUAGGUCACACACCCGAGAAGCGUCUGUCCCAUAGUAGGCUCGUAGUAAAUUGUCCCUUUCAGAAGGUUUUUCCUUCCUAUUAGACAACUUGAGGAAGCUUCCUCCUUCUCCACUCCUGGGUUUCUCGCCCUGAUUUGCCUGUUCCUUUCCCACAGAGGCAGGAGAGGCAGGCCCAAGACUCCAGAGCGACCCAAGGCGGAAAAGGCGACGUCACCUAAGGUUCUGGUGCCGCAGGGGGACAUCGUGCCUGGACGGCUCACUGAGACGGAGGCAGUGGGUGGGUCUCAAGGCUCGCGAGGAGGGUGAGGAGGUGGUGGGUAAAAUCAUGGACGAGCUGAUAGACCUAGUGAUGGAUGCCACCUACAAAUCCUACCUGGAACAGCAGGUGGGCCUGGAUCCCCGUCCUCCAGACCCAUCUCCUCUCUCCCUGACCCCUGCCUGCUGGACUGGGGCCACCCUCUCUCGCCUCCGCAGUGCAUUCCGUACACUGUGAACAGGACACGGGAGACCAUACUCCAUGUGGUCCAGAUGAGACUAGUGCCCCAGGAUGAGGGAGAACCUCACCUAGCAGAGGACCCCACGUGGGCGGAGGACGAGGAACCCUCACCUUGCCCGAUUGACACCUGGGCUCGGGGAGCCGUGCCCGUGCGGUGCGCGCCCUGCUCGGUGGAAAGGAAGAAGAGCCAAGGCAAAGCAAGCCCCGCCCCCAGCUCCUUCCCACCUCCCGCCCCCACCGCCCGCCAUGUCCUUUUCUCUUCAGGGCCUCUCUGGGCUGCUCCAACCUUAGUUCCUCUGUCUCCUUCCUGAUGUAACACUUCUCACCUCCCACCUCCACCCCAGUGUAUUUCCCCAGGACCAAGGGAGCACGGACCAGCUCCCUUUAGGAAGA